GAAGUAUCUUCUUCCUCGGACCCUGCAACGAAAACAUAGCUUGUGAAAAGAGAGCGUAAUAAUGUUGAACGAAGAGAGUGGAUGUAGUUUUUCGCGUUACAACAGAUCAAACAAAACUGAGAAAUUGAAAUUCAUUCAAAAUCUGCAAGAUAUGAUAAGAGUGAUACUAGAUGUUGUGUGGCAACUCAACAUGAAGCUUACCAUCGGUAUGAGCAUAGCCUUGA